AAAUUGGGAGCAGAAGUUGAGUCUAAUGGAGAGGAGUGGAACUGAUAUGCUCAGACCUUGUCCUUCCCACAGCCCAGAAGAGAAAAAGCCUUGACUGCCUCCUGGUCCUGUCCUGGCUGAUUGGACCAACAGUAGACACUUGACCUACUCCUGGCCUGACAGCUCCCUCUGGGAGUCUAUAGCUAAACAGGGAAGCUGGACUUUCCUCCUUCAGCUGUGAGAUGUGUCACAAGAGCGCACGGCAACUCCCCAUUGCCCCAGCAGUGCUCUCGCCAACAUUCUGCCUCAGCCUCCCUAGCCAUCAUCCCGUACCUGGCUUCUCUCCAUGGAAACAACACACACCCAGAAGAGGGAGGAUUCUGUCUAACCCAGGGAGAUCUAGCAAGCAAGACUGAAGCUUUCAAGUACAUCUUUUUUUUUUUUUUUUUAAAUCAGGACACUCGGAGAUUCUGGGUCACAAAUUUGGUACCUGCUUUUGAUCCCCUCAUACUGUACCCCAGCCUACCCUGCUGGUGGGACUCUGGACUUCCUAGCUAUCUGGAUGAGAAGUCUCAGGGUGCUCUGCACAGAGCAGCAUUUGAGGCAGUGUGGGAAAUGGGCCAGAAGGGACACCAGGGCUGGGGAGGUGGAGGGGCCAUAGCUCCCAGUUGUCCCAGGUGACUAUCAGGGUAGUAUGCCACCUUGAAGAUGGGGAUUAAUGGGCCAAGCACACGCCUGGGAGGUUGUAAUUGUUGCUUCCGUUGUCAUGGGCAGGGCAGGCUGAAGCAUGAUGGGAAACUGGAAACAGAUAGAAGGCCCAGAUGGUGUUGGCUUCUCUUAGGCUCUUGGGAAAGAUAGGACCAGAGAUAUUUAGCAAGGUCACCCCCAAAGCAUGUCCCCGAUUAGUGCUGGACCAUGGACAGGACCCAGGAACGAGGGCGCCCGGCCUGCUCUGCCUUGCAGUACUGGGUGCUGCUGUGGACGCUGCUCCAUUUCCAUUCAGCUGUGUUCCUUGUGUCCUUGGAGUGUCCCUUAUGAAGCCGGGGAGCUGGCAGGUAAUGGAGGGCCAGGCUUUACUGUGCCCGUGCCUCUCUUUACGACGCCAUAUUUUUUUUAACGAGCUAUGUAAAUGUCUGCGAGUCAGAACAAAGUCAGGGCCUCUAGCUGCCCCCUCCCCCACUCACCUGACCUUGUGCGUCCCAGGGGAAAGUUUUCUGAGGGCUGUGGCGGUAGCCUCCGUGUGGCCAUUUCCUGGUUCAGCUUGAGUCGGCGCAGGGACUAUGGCUGGGACCUUAUGCCUGUCACCUCUCUUCCUGUUCCUCAUCUACACAAUGGAAUACAGAGCGUUUCGUGCUUUCUGAAGCAUCAUGGUACCGCUACACCGCAGCCUUGGGCAGUGGCUGGCCCCCGCUGAGAUUUUGGUUUCUUGUCAUCAAAACAGGUAGACCACUGCUUUCGUUCUAAUCAGCCCUGGGCUCAUUGCAGUGGGCAAGGGAUGGUCUCAGAGACGACCCCUGUCCCUGCUCCUCCCUGGCCUGCUCUUCCUUUGGCUUCUUGUUCCCUGGGAUAACACCAUCCUCAGGAAGGUGUCUCCACAGUACAGUGGGGUUGGGGAGCAAGGAUGAGGCUGAUGAGCAGAGAACCAGGCAUGGUCACUGCUGAUGUCCUGGUUAGGGUGGCGGCUAGACUCAAAGGAGCUGAGGGAAGAGAGGGCCUGGGAUUGUGCCAGGGCAGCUCUCAGUCUCUGGGUCACCAGAGGCCUCCCCAGCCCUCCCUUUGUAGUAACAGCCAGAGUUGUGAGGGGUGCAGAUUAUACCAUAACAGGAGGCCAUAAAUCCCUUUGCAGGCUGAGCAACCAAAUUCCCAGGGGGAGCUCUGACCACCUAGGAUGGCACUGCAUGACCACUGUGUCCCAAGCUCCUAAUAGAUGCCCAGGCCAGAUUACCAGGCCUUCAGCACAGCUGCUAAACCUUCCGUCAUGUAUUCUGAUCAGAGUUCUACACUCUACCGAGGUGCCAGGGUGGCCUGGGAGGGUUGGCUGGCAUAGCUCGUGACCAUGGGUAUUGACAUUCACUCUGUUCACGUACCCACACCAUAGUGUGCCCGCCGCCAGCACCUCUUUUGUCUGUGAAAGAGAGACUGCAGGAGGUGGUAUAACUUCAUCCACUUCACGGGUGAGAAGCCUGAGUUGAUAGUGGUUCAAAAUGAGUUCUGGCUUUCAAACCUACCUGGAGAUGGGCCUAGCUGUCCUUUCUACCUCCUGACUCUCCAGAUCUACCUCUGAAACGGAAUAUGUUAGGACUUCUUCAGAGUGGGAUUAAAGAAGAGAAUUCAGGAAUGGCCUGUAGCCUGUCCAUCAGCACAACCCCUGAUAAACUGCAGCUGACAGGAUUACUGCCUCUGCCUCUGCUGCAGCCUGCCACAGAAAGGAUAUUGUACCAGGGGACAGCAAAGCCAGUCUGUCUCAGCAGCCCCCUACUCCUGAGCGAACUCUAGAGGCCCGUAUAUCAAUGGAAGCUUCCUCCAAGGACAGAGGGACUAUAGAUGUCCCCACAGCAGUUCUCUCUGUAGGUCGGUGACCCCUUUAACAAACCUCUGUCUCCAAAAGUGUCUCCAUUGCAAUCCAUAACAGUAGUAAAAUUACAGUUAUGAAUUAGC
rnacentral:lncRNA from 1 species